rnacentral:rRNA from 1 species
GGUUUGAUUAUGGCUCAGAUUGGACGCUGGCGGGAUGCUUUACACAUGCAAGUCGAACGGCAGCACGGACUUCGGUCUGGUGGCGAGUGGCGAACGGGUGAGUAAUGUAUCGGAACGUGCCUUUAGUAGCGGGGGAUAACUACGCGAAAGCGUAGCUAAUACCGCAUACGCCCUUCGGGGGAAAGCAAUCUUCGGGCCUCGCACUAUUAGAGCGGCUGAUAUCGGAUUAGCUAGCUGGUGGGGUAACGGCUCACCAAGGCGACGAUCCGUAGCUGGUUUGAGAGGACGACCAGCCACACUGCUGGGACUGAGACACGGCCCAGACUCUACGGGAGGCAGUGGGGAAUUUUGGACAAUGGGGGAAACCCCGAUCCAGCCAUCCCGCGUGUGCGAUGAAGGCUUCGGGUUGUAAAGCACUUUUUGGCAGGAAGAAACGGCACGGGAUAAUACCCCGUGCAACUGACGGUACCUGCAGAAUAAGCACUGGCUAACCACGUGCCAGCAGCCGCGGUAAUACGUAGGGUGCAAGCGUUAAUCGGAAUUACUGGGCGUAAAAGCGCAGGCGGUUCGGAAAGAAAGAUGAAAUCCCAGAGCUUAACUUUGGAACUGCAUUUUUAACUACCGAGCUAGAGUGUGUCAGAGGGAGGUGGAAUUCCGCGUGUAGCAGUGAAAUGCGUAGAUAUGCGGAGGAACACCGAUGGCGAAGGCAGCCUCCUGGGAUAACACUGACGCUCAUGCACGAAAGCGUGGGGAGCAAACAGGAUUAGAUACCCUGGUAGUCCACGCCCUAAACGAUGUCAACUAGCUGUUGGGGCCUUCGGCUCGGUAGCGCAGCUAACGCGAAGUUGACCGCCUGGGGAGUACGGUCGCAAGAUUAAACUCAAAGGAAUGGACGGGACCGCACAAGGGUGGAUGAUGUGGAUUAAUUCGAUGCAACGCGAAAAACCUUACCUACCCUUGACAUGUCUGGAAUCCCGAAGAGAUUUGGGAGUGCUCGCAAGAGAACCGGAACACAGGUGCUGCAUGGCUGUCGUCAGCUCGUGUCGUGAGAUGUUGGGUUAAGUCUGCAACGAGCGCAACCCUUGUCAUUAGUUGCUACGAAAGGGCACUCUAAUGAGACUGCCGGUGACAAACCGGAGGAAGGUGGGGAUGACGUCAAGUCCUCAUGGCCCUAUGGGUAGGGCUUCACACGUCAUACAAUGGUCGGGACAGAGGGUCGCUAACCCGCGAGGGGGAGCUAAUCCUAGAAACCUGAUCAGUCCGAUCGCAGUCUGCAACUCGACUGCGUGAAGUCGGAAUCGCUAGUAAUCGCGGAUCAGCAGCUGUCGCGGUGAAUACGUUCCCGGUCUUGUACACACCGCCCGUCACACCAUGGGAGUGGGUUUUACCAGAAGUAGUUAGCCUAACCGUAAGGAGGGCGAUUACCACGGUAGGAUUCAUGACUGGGGUGAAGUCGUAACAAGGUAG